CCCGCGGCGACGCUCCGCCGGGCCGGGCGGCGGCUCCGAGGGGCGGAGACCCCAGCGACGUGGAGGAAACCCGGCCCGGAUCUGGAGUGGACUCGGGGCGGCCUUGGGGAGAAAGAAAGGCGGAGGAGGCAGAGAGAAGUUGGCUGUGUACAGUUCAGGAAGAAAGCUCUCGCCAGAAAACGAAUCUGCCAGCACCCGGAUCAUCACGGACUUCUAGCCUCAGAACCAUGAGAAAUGAAUGGGAAGCCAGCUUCCUUGUCUUGAGAGAGUCCGCCCUGUGGAGAAGCCCAUUCAACAAAGACCUGAGGCCUCAAUCGAACCACCGGGAACUGAGUCCUGUCACCAACCAUAGGAUGAAGGACAAGGUCCCGCCAGCAGGAGGGGAAAGCGAGAGCAAAGCCCGAGGCAAGCAACAGCCGGCUUCACAAGAACAAGCAGUUCUGGGUUGCACGCAUCCAUCCGGUUCUUUGCAGACAUAAUCCUAUCAAGCUGAAGUCACCCUAAUCAAGUAUGACCGGUGUUCUAUAAGGAGAGGGAACUUUGGACACGACACAGAGGGGAAGGCCGUGUGACAACAGAGACAGAGACUGGGUGAUGUCGCAGCAGCCGAGGUUGAUGACACCACCAGGGGCUGGAAGACGGGAAGGAGGGUUUCUCCUCUACUGGUUUCAGAGGGAGCAGACCCUGCUGACACCUUGAUUUUGGCCUCUGAACAGUGAGACAAUAAACUUGUUGUUUUAAAUCACCA